rnacentral:lncRNA from 1 species
CUUCCGGAACUUAAGCCUCACAUCACCGGUGAUGCACACUUGAAGGCGAAGACAAUUACAUCCAGACUGCACAACCACCACCUCUAGCUGCAGGGGCCUUGGGCCGAAGAUCCGCCCAGGCCUACGAGAAGUCUACAACAGCAGAACCAUACGACAUCAAGAAGAUACCAUCAGCUACCAAAAGCCAUAAGUAUAAUCCAGAAUUUUUUUUGGAAAGAGAUCAACCUUUCCCUCUUCGGGAACUUAAGCCUCACAUCACCGGUGAUACACACUUGAAGGCGAAGACAAUUACAUCCAGACUGCACAACCACCACCUCUAGCUGCAGGGGCCUUGGGCCGAAGAUCCGCCCAGGCCUACGAGAAGUCUACAACAGCA